UACGUAGGGGGCGAGCGUUGUCCGGAGUUACUGGGCGUAAAGCGCACGCAGGCGGUCUGCUAAGUUUGGAGUGACAGUUGGUGGCUUAACUGCCAAAGUGCUUCGAAAACUGACAGACUUGAGGGCUUCAGAGGGACACGGAAUUCCGGGUGGAGUGGUGAAAUGCGUAGAGAUCCGGAGGAACACCAAAGGCGGAGGCAGUGUCCGGGGGAGUACCUGACGCUCAGGUGCGAAAGCCAGGGGAGCGAACGGG
rnacentral:rRNA from 1 species